CUUCGCCUCUCAGAUCUGUGUUGCGAAAUCCCUGACCAUAACCACACAUGGAAGAGAUGACUAACCGAGAAGGAGCUCUUUCUCCUCUCCCGCAGCAGCCUCUCUUUCACCCGGAGCAGCAGCAACUCUUUAUCCUGGAGCGGAAUCUGUUUCUUUCUUUCUGUGUGGAUAUCUGGUAAUCUCCGCAUCCUUGUGGUCAUUCUCACCCCUGUUUGCCAUUUGGCUGUGUUUAAUUCUGUGGCCAUUCCUCCAUAAACUAUAUUGUGCCUCUCACAGCACCAGCGCCAGCAGCGGGACUUCCUCCAGCCGAUUUUUAUGUGCCUGGUAAGAAUGAUGUCUAGGGGACUGAAUGCCAUGACUGGACAAGCCAUGCGACUUUUCGGGAGCUCCAUAUUCCCGCUUUCUGUGGCUAUCAAACAUACAUGUACAUGGGUCGCUCACCCUUCAAGGAGAUAGAAAGUUUCGUAUCGGCCUUGAGACACGGCGCUUCGGAUAAUGACAACAAACCUCCAGGUAUUAUUAUUGGAACUCCGGGGUCUGGGAAGACCACUGUUCUUGCUACUGUGGCUGGAUAUCUUCGGCACCUUUGGAAGAACACCUCCAAGAAGGUCGUCUUUAUCAAUGGCGAAGAUUUCAUUGACAAUCCCUUGUGGACAAUGUGGCUGGCUCUUUUACUGAGCUACAUAGACGACCUUCCAGCUGAGCUUUCGUGCCGGGGGCGGACCUUGGAAGCAUUAGAAUCUUGGAUCCUGUCGAGAUCGUCAGAGCAGCUUUACUUUCUGGUGGACGAGGCCAACGCGUUUGACACCACGCUGAAGAGAGAACCGGGGGCUGCCAGCGCGAAAAAAAGAGACGACGCUUACCAUUUUAUGAAGAAUAUGCAACUGCAGCACGUCGUUGUCUACUGCUCAAGUACGUGGACGAGCAGAUUAGUGAGCGACAAAAGCCAGGUGGUUACAACGUAAGUGGCGACUACUUUCCAACACUGGUGUGGGGCUAACUUGUGUGCUUUUCCUUUUAUCCAACAGGCUGAGGAACUGCAGGCAUAUUGCGAACACGAGGUUCGUCGUGCCGGGGGGCUCCAAGUGGAGGUGAGCAUCGUAUUUACCGUGUCUUCUUUUAAAGCCUACUAAUGGUUUGGAGUAGGAGGAUCCGAUUGUGGCGUAUUGCAGGCUUGCCACAAGGCAAGGCCACCGAGAGUUGAUCCGACAAAUUCAGCUCCUCCUCAGAUCCAUCAACCUGCUUCAUCGCGUCGGUAAGCCACACAUUCACACAUUUCAUUUACCUUAAUGCGUUUGCUCGGAAUUCAAAAGUGAGACCGGCUGGGUUCCCAGGCUUGUUCGCUCAUUACGGGACCUGGAAGCUAGGGACCACGUACCAGAUGUACGAAGCUGGCCUGGGAGAGUAUAUCCAAGAGGCGGUCAAGGACCCAGAUCGCUGGAAUUCCUUCAUCGCUGUGGUCAGCAGAGUGGAAACGAUUAGAGCGGUGUUACCAGACGCGCUAGACACUCGAUGUUUUUACGUGGAUCCAGAGACACAAACAGGAAAAUGUCCAUCAGAUUCUCUGUGCGCGCGCACUAUGGCGACUCUGCAGUACGCGUCUGACGUUGAGGCUAGGAUGGGUAUCGGCCAAUGGACAAGGCUGAUCUCGCAGGAUGACAACAGUGCUCGGGUUGGGUGGAACGCAAUAAUGGCAACUCUCAUUUUCAUCAAACACUAUGGUAUCGUUAUUACCGCGGAAGGUCUGCAGCUUAACUUUAAACCUGAAGUGGUUGUCAGAUUCGAACCCCAACUUCUGUUUGGAUCCUAUGAUCCCCCCCCCAUCCUUCGUGGGGUACAACACACCUCAGUCCAAAUGCUUCCAUCAGUCCUUUUAGGACCAUUUUUUGACUCUACUUAAGUCAUCCAGCAGUUUUAGACUUGAUUAAUUCACAGACCUAUAAGGUCCCACUUGUGAAGCACUAGCUCACUGGAAUACACUUCCUGCAUUCCUGUCCUACUUAGAAGGACUAUUUUCACAAGUGUUAUUCUGACACUUGUUUUUGUUCUCUAGGGCAACUUCUGCCCCUUAGAACUACUUGUCCAUGUGAUGAGAAUACCAACUCAUCUUUAAGUACACCCCCCAACUCUUUGGGUUGUUCUAACAUUUAUUAAAGGUAGCCCCGGCUACCAUUUCAAGGGCUGGUGUCCUCUUCUGUAUUUGACAUCCCACAGUCAACAAUUUUAGUCUCGAAUUUAUGAGUACCAGCCUCAACCAUAUAAGGGUAAUCUUGUGACUCCUUUAUUGUUUUGGAGUCUGCAUCUUCCCCGUGAUCCCAAUUGUAGUUGUUUACCACAACUACAUUAGCAAGUUUGUUAAGUCAAACGCUCAUCUGGAUCACAUCCUCAACUCUCUGAAGAAACCCUUAUACUAUUCCCAAGAUCCCAAAGUCAUUCCAUUAUUGGCCCCUUUUCUAUCCAGCACAUUGCACCCAAGUUCACGCAUGAACUUGAGUGGAGAGCCAUGUCCUCUCGACAUGCUACUCCUCAAGGAUAGGCCCACUCCUAGGACUUUCUGAUGCCAAUAUCAAUGGUGUUAUACUUGAGCACCAAUAAAAGUCGGACUAAAGAACAACUCCGAUACUAAGUUGUAAGUGACUAAAUUUUCCAUUUUACUUUAGUCACUUAACCGCACCUCCGACCACUUGGAGGAGUCUCACUCACAACCUCCGUAAGUCCUAUUUUGGACCUGGGCUUACUAGCCCCGAGAAUGGCAUCCCCGCCACUCAACUUCGUGCACUUGGUCCAAGUGCUCCACGUGUCCGAUCCCAUGACUGACACCCCAAGGUACCACCAACAUAUCAGCCUGUUACGCUAAGGCCAUGCCCAUUCACCUUGGUCACAACGAUGGUCUGACACCAUCUGCAUCCCAAUCCCAUCACUUAAAGACUGGGCCAUCCAUCCAUGAGUGAUCAUCCCAAAUCCACUCCUUAGCAUCCUUAGGAUGCCCACCGACAUGGGGAUUAGCCUUCCCCAAUAUCUCCGUUCCAAUCCCCACUAAGUCCCUUUUCGUCCAUGGCCGUGUUUGCCAACACUGCCACUGGAUCGAGGCCCACAGGCCCGACCACUAAGUCCCACGGUCCACUGGGACUUCCUCACCACACGACUGUGUCCUUGGUCACUACCCCAGAGGACUGCUCCUCUUCCUUUCCACAGUCUGAGCCUUUGGGACAACAUUUCGGAACACCGUGGCCUUACGCGAGCCACCUGGGUACUCUCCCCGCCUUCCGCCCUUGGGUGCUCUAGCCAUGGGCUUAGAGCGAGGUUCCGUUGAGCCACGCCUGGUAUCCAAGUAGGUAGUGCCACCCACACUUGGACUGGGAGCAUCGGCCAGUCGAUCUCCCGGGGGAACUAGAGCCGGCUCUUGAACACUUCACCAAGCUACCCCGCUUGUCGGUCUGUGUUCACUCUAGUCUUGGACUUCCCAGUGGUCAGCUCAUCACCCAACACUGGGUCUGGCCUUCCUGGGCCAAACUGGCCUUUCCUAGCCAAACUGGCUCCACUGGGCUCCAACCCCCACACUCUCCCUACUAUACUUUUGGAAACCCCCGCCCUGGGGGACGAUCGCUUUGGGCUUUCACCCAACUGCCUGUAUUAGUAUUCGGACUCGGACUCGGACUCGGUCUCGGUCUCGGUCCCGAAUUCGGACUCGGACUCAAUCUCGGUCUCGGUCUCGGUCUCGGUCUCGGUCCCGGUCUCGGUUCCAUCUCGGACUCCAUCUUGGGUCCAUCUCAGACUCCAUCUCGGGUCCAUCUCGGACUCCAUCUCGGGUCCAUCUCGGACUCCAUCUCGGGUCCAUCUCGGACUCCAUCUCGGGUCUAUCUCGGGUCCAUCUCGGACUCCAUCUCAGGUCCAUCUCGGACUCCAUCUCGGGUCCAUCUCGGGUCCAUCUCGGACUCCAUCUCGGGUCCAUCUCGGACUCCAUAUCGGACUCCACUUCGGGUCCAUCUCGGACUCCAUCUCGGACUCCAUAUCGGACUCCACUUCGGGUCCAUCUCGGACUCCAUAUUGGACUCCAUCUCAGACUCCACUUCGGCCUCUACUUCGGGUCCAUCUCGGACUCCACUUCGGGUCCAUCUCGGACUCCACUUCGGGUCCAUCUUGGACUCCAACUCGGGUCCGCCUCGGACUCCAUGUCGGACACUUCCACGUGUCAUGUGUUGGUCCUUUUUGGGUCCCUUUUUGGAGCCUUGCUUAUUGGUUGCCUCGUGCUUGCUCCUCGAGCACUUUGUUGGGAGUUCCACUCCCGCUCUCAACCUUCCAAGUCGGAGCUUUUAGUCCAAACGUGUUAUGCUCGUUUGGCUUUCGCUUCGGCCACUACCACGUGGCACCCUUUCCAGCUCCACUUUGGGGGCCUAGGGAUUUUGUGUCUCACACAAAUUUGGACACUUUCCAUAAAUAGCAUUUGGGACCGAAAUGAGACUAACACAAAAGGCAUGAUAGCGAGGGUUUUUGGUAGGCACGGUAAGCUAUUAUCCAGCGAUAUUGAGGGACUAAUCUCAAUACGCGAGGGUUCUUGUCAAGCCAGUGCAAGACAGAGCAAAAGAGAACUAAAAAGCCAGGCCAAGUAUGUUUGGCUAAAUAGACACUUAGGAAUUCCGUCCUUAUGCUCAUCCGGCCAAGUACAGAUGCAAAGUCCAGUUUACUAACACUUGAACAAGAGGGGCUGGCAAAGGGUCUAGCAAUACUGACCUCCUGCCAUCAUGGCAGUAAGGAAAGAGUGUCCGUAAGGACUGGUCGACAGGUAACUUUCGAUACCCGAAGUCACAUUCGCGACAAUUCCUGAUAGCACCCCCUCGGAUUGAAGAUCAUUUCUGAUCGCAUUCAUCAAGGAGGAGUCCUGAGGGGCCAGAGAAAUUGCCAUAACUUGAAGCCGAUCAGGACCGAGGAUAACUUGAUCAUGUUGAUUGAAGGCAGGAUUACCAGGCCUGAGACUGAGAUAGGACCGCCUUGAAAGAGCAUCAGGAAGGCCUUGAAACUUUCUAGGUCUGUACUUGAUAACAAAGUCAAACCGACUCAAGAAUUGUGCCCACCUUGCUUGACGACGGCUCAAAACUCAGGAAGUGGCAAAGCACUCAAGAUUUUUGUGAUCCGUCCAGACCAUUGUUUGAUGGCCCGCCCCCUCCAAGAAACGACACCACUCUCCAAAGGAAUCCACGAUGGCAAGAAGCUCCUUGUCAUGGAUUUCGUAAUUGAUCUCCGCAGGUUGGAAUUUCUGAUAAUGGAAGGCGACUGGAUGAAAUUCUUGAUCCGCUCCGAGUUGAAACAACACAGCACUGAUGGCAAAGUCAGACACAUCAGCCUCGAUGAAGAAAGGUUGUGAGGGAUCAGUGUGGAUCAAGACAAGAGCAAAACUGAAGGCCGCCUUGAGUGUGUCGAAGGCCUGCUGGGCAGCAGCAGACCAAGAGAAGGGAACAUCCUUGUGAGUGAGAUGCGUGAGAGGAAGGACAAUGUCAGAGUAGUGAUCAAUGAAUUUGCAAUAGGAAUUGGCGAAGCCAAGGAAAACCUGAACAUCCGACAUUGAUUGUGGAGGCUCCCAUUCGAGAAUAAUCUUGACUUUGGCAGGAUCCAUCGUGAUACCCUCAAGAGUGACAAUGUACCCAAGGAACUCCACAGACUCCUGAUCGAAGGAACAUUUCUCAAGCUUCGCAUAUAAGCCAUGUUCCCGCAGCUUUGCCAACACCUUGCGCACAUGCUCGUCGUGCUCCUCCUGAGUUUUUGAGUAGAUGAGGAUGUCAUCAAGGUAGACGAUCACCAUCUGAUCAAGAAACUCCCGAAAGACGUUGUUUGCCAUGUGUUGGAAAAUUGUUGGAGCAUUUGUCAAGCCAAAUGGCAUAACGGUGUAUUCGAAGUGGCCAUAUGUAAGCCACAAAUUUUUCCUUUCCAAUUUGCCAGCUUACCUCGCCUAUCCGUCCAACACCGCCUUGGCUUUUGCUAAGUUCCCUUGCCAAGGUUCUCGCCUAUGGUACCAGCUCCUACUUGGUCUCAGCUACUCACUGCACGAGCAACGGAGUGUUAGCCACCAUCCACGGAUUCCCAAAUCACUCCCAAUCCCCCUCCCCGGGUUAGACUGGACUUAAGGUUCGGCUACACUCCCCGCAAGCACAAGCAGCCAAGCACACCAAGCUUCCAGGUUCCUAACAUCCUUUGGUACCACAAGACUUGAUCAUGGGACCCUCUAAAUCCCAAGUCUUGAGUGCAACACUUGCUUCGGGACGCCGGGGCGAAACACCGUGGCCUAGCGGCCCGGUAUGGGUACCUCUCGCCCCCCACUUCCAUCCCGAAGGAAGGCCCAAGCCCCUAGGAAGGGCGAGGACCAAUGAGCCGCAUGGUACUCAAGUGGGGCACCACUCCACUUGAGCCGGGAGCACCGCAAUCGGUUUCCCUUUCGGGAGUGGGAGCUGCUCUUGAGCACUUCCUUGGAUGGCCCCUCCGGCACCAACCAAGUCCAUGCUCACUCCCACCCAAGGCCCCUCGGUCCCAGUCCCAACCUCAAGUCAGUUUGGGAGCCCCACUGGAGAGUCCCUUCUAAACUGGUUCCUGGACCUCACUAUCCCUACCAUACUUUUGGAACCCCCUACAGCCCCCCCCCCCCCCUGGGAGACGCACGCUUUGGGCUUUCACCCCUUGACCCGUAUUAGUAUUUGGACUUAGUCUCUGGCUCGAUCUCGGACCCGAUUUCGGAUCCGACUUCGGAUUCGGGUUCGGACUCGAUCUCGGACUCGAUCUCGGACCCGAUCUCGUACCCGACCUCGGACUCGACCUCGAACUCGGUCUCGGACCCGAUUUCGGAUCUCGGACUCCGUCUCGAACUCAGUCUCGAACUCGGACUCGAACUCGGUCCCCGAGUCGGUCUCGGACUCGAUUCCGGACUCGAUCUCGAACUCGGUCCUAGAGUCGGUCUUGGACUCGAUCUUUGACUUGGUCCCAUCCGAUGAACUCUUUGUCAUUUUGGUCAUGCUUUCGGGGUUCCUUUAGCCUACGACACCUCGGCGAGUUGGUUCCUUACACCAUAGCGGGUUCGGAACGCAGUCUUCCAUUCAUUACUAGGCCGGAUCUGGAUCAGGUUGUAUGCUCCACAGAGGUCGAUCUUGGUGAAGAAGCAGGCACCGCUGAGGCGUUCCAAUAUGUCUGAGAUCAGGGGCAGUGGAUAACGGUUCCGAACAAUCACCUUGUUCAAACCUCGGUAGUCGAUGACUAGCCGCAAACUCCCAUCCUUCUUCUUGACAAAGAAGACAGGCACUUCAGUCGGGGACUGCGAAUGCUGAAUGUACCCCGAGGCAAGGUUCUCAUCCACGUAUUCUUUGAGGGCCUUAAGCUCGGACGGGGAUAACCCAUAGAUAGGCCCCCACGGAGGUGAUGCUCCUUCCUGUAAAUCAAUGGGACAGUCAUAAGGCUGAUGAACAGGCAGUACACUAGCUUUUUUCUUGUCAAACACAUCCCCAAAAUCAUGAUACUUCUCAGGAACACUGACAGGAGAAACAUGCAAAGCAAAAAAGGAAAAUAGAUUCUUCAUGAAGAAGUUCUUUCAUAGUGAUUGUGGAGAUAGGAGGAGGUGUACAACUAAAUGGAAUGAUGAGACGAGGAUACUGUCCAGUGUAAUAUGGAAGAGAGGAAAAAGAAGAGGGUGAAAACUUCGUAGAGUCAGGAAUAGAACCCCAAUUUAAGUUUAAGGAACUUUUCCUGAUUCGGACUCGAUGAACAGCAGGGGAAGCCAUGGGAGAUGAUGAUGUGGGAGAGACGAGCUGUAAUUCCUUCCAAUAGAUCUGAGGCUGAUGUAGUUGGAACCAAGGGAGGCCAAGCACCACAGAGAAGGACUUGUUGUUGAUGAUGUUGAAGGCGAUAUCGGUGACGGUGGACCCGAUGUGUACUUGAAAGGGCAACAUUUCCCUAAGUCCAGAAGAUGGAAACACAAAAUGCCUGCCGAUGCCUUCAACCCUCAGAUCCCGUAUGGUAGGAGAAAGAGGAACGUGAUGUCAGGCAGCAAAGUUCGUGUCCAUGAAGCAGGAAGUUGCACCCGAGUCCAGUAGUGCCAGAGCCUUGAGUCCUGAUUGUCCGGUGAAAGAAAGGAGACAUAGGAUGCGGAAGUUGCGGGAAUUGGUGGUGGCUUUGAUGAAAGGUGGUGAAGAGCUUGAUAAAGAAGAAAAGUGAUUUUUAUUUGGGGAGUCCAAACAGACAGCUCCUACUUUGUUUGGACAGGGUCGUUUCCCAAUUGCAACAGAGAUGGACUUUGAGGCAGAGUGAACUCGAGCAAUCGGGGAGGCUUCUUGGGACACACAGUUGCUUUGUGAUUAGGAUCAGCAUAGUAGAGGCAAAGAUUAUGAGAUAUUCGACGUUGCUUCUCAGCAGGACUCAACUUCCCUCUGAUGAGUCGGGGAGUACCAGAAAUAUCCAUCGGGACCGGAGUAGUAGGUCCAGGAGUAUGCUCUGAAGACUCAAGCUGGGAUUCCUGAGUCUGGGACGGGAAAACGGCGGCACGGUGACUUUUCUGAUGACGUUCAAAGAGACGAUUGUCGCAUCAAACAGCUUUGUUGAUGGCGUCCGACAAGUCCGUGGGAUCCUCCAUGGUGAGCAACAAAUCCUUGACACCGUUGUUGAGGCUGAAACGAAAUUGAUCAAUCAAGGCCUGCUCAUCCUAUUGAGUGUCCAAGGCAAGGAGUUGGAACUCUGCAGCAUAGAUCGAGGCAGGACGAGACCCUUGAGAGAGACGUCUCAUCUUUGUGGUGGCAGCCCGAACCCGAUCCGUCUCGCCAAAACAUGCUUCGAGCUUCUCUUUGAACAAUUGAAAAUCCAUCAGCUCCAGAACCACGACCCCUUUCAUGCUCUUCUCCAGGAGAGGAGAAAACCAUGACAAAGUUGCACCUUCGAGCAACAUCCCAAUCGCACCAAUUUGAGACUCGGGAGUGGGGUACCGCCGAUGUUAAAGUCCGAAGAUCAGCUCCAUCUGGUUCAGGAAUCCACGAAGCUCUGAACGCUUCCCUAAAAAUUUUGCCGGGAAACUCACCUUCGGUUUAGGAACUUUGUUGGAUCCUUGAGCCGAAAGUGAAGCAAGCUCCUGUUGCAUGCGAAGAAGGGUCGCCUUCAGCUCAAUAUUCUCAGACUGGAUUUUUGCAAGGACUUCGGCAAAGAAAUCAGGAUGGCUUGGAAACUCCAUUGGAAAAGAAGAAAGAAAAAAGGGGGAAAAAAUGCAAAGGCAGUCAAACAAUCAAAACAAGCUAAAGCAAAAAACGAAAAAACACAAUCUAAAUCAAACUAUCAAGACCCCUAACAAGAUCAAGACUGGAAAAUGCAAAAGACAAAGAGAAAAGCUAGUGAAUAACGAAGAAGAGGCCUUAGACUAGUGUUGAUUCAGAUUGUAGAGAAAUGGAACAAAGCUAACUUAUAUAUACUAUAGGUUGAUGAAGCUCCACCACUUUUGGAUCGAGGACGGCCCAAAUAUAGUUGAGGUUGAGGAGGCGUCACAUCAUCAUCAGGAAUGUGGCUCGAGACUCAGGAAUCGUAUGGGAAAUCGAGAGUCAGGAAUAGGGAAGUGUUUUGAGAGUCAGGAAUAGGGAAGUGUCUCGAGAGUCAGGAAUGUGGUCUGCAGGUCAAGAAUCUGGCGAGAGUCAGGAAUGUGGCAAGAAUUGGGGGAUUUCUGACAACAAUAAAAGGAGUGAUCAAUGUAAGCUCCUAAGUUUAGACUUUCCAGGGGUGACAAUAAAAGGAGUGAUUAAGUGUAAGUUCCUGAGUUUGGAAUUCCCAGGAGGUCACCUAACCUAGUACUAUUCAAACCUAAGAACGUUUAACUCAAGUAUCCCAAAACCUUUAACUAAUUUGAAAAAGGGGUGCACUUUUUUUAAGGGCGUUUUCCCUUUAUAUUUGAAUCCUAUGUAUCAUUUUUCAAAUCGUUCUUUUUGGUUGCUUAUAAUCCACCACGCUUCCAUGUAAUUUCAUGCCUUCAUGAAUGGAAGCUGAAAGCCAUAGCUCAACUCAAGAGUUUAUAUUUGGUAUCAGAGAGGUCUUGGGUCCGACUUUAUUGAUUGGCUAAAAGAAUUGCACUAGAUAUUGAUUGACAUCAGGUAAGUUUAAUUUACUUUUUAAUUAUUUAUAAUUAAUGAUGAAGACACCAUUAACUUUGUAGCUCCCUAUGCCAAUUCACCUAUCAACCCCACAAUAGAACCUACACUUAGUUUGUGGCCAUCUACCAUAUAGCUUAACAUGAUUGUAAUUUAGGGCAUUUUGUCAUUCUAGAUACCACCUCAUAAAUCAGAAUUCUGCAGGCAAGGAAAUUCAUUGCUCCAUUUUUCCAAAGGACAAAGAUGACACCUAGUGUCUAAAGCACUACUCAUGCCAAAAAUUCUAACCUAUGCCUCUUAUACCAUGUGAAGAGAAGCUAGCCUCUCCACCUAACACUCUGCAGAAAGAGAAAACUCCAAGAACAAGCAGCUCUCACAAAACAGCAAAAAGAGGUAAGAACGUUAAAUUGAAGAAAUGUGACUCAAGCCAUGUGGCUGACUCUAUGGUGGCUGCCACAUUCUCUACUUCAUAGAGUCUGCCACAUUCUCUACUUUGGUGGUAGGAAGACCAACUGUAAAAUAGAAGCCACUAAAACAAACAAAAUUGUGGCUAAGUUUUCACAUUUUGUCUCUUUAUCGUGCUAUCGUUACGGUUUUAGGGCAAAGCCCACCACCAACCUAGGUUUUCACGAUAGGGUUUCAAUUAACGAAAUGGACGAGGAAUUGGCUAAGGUGCAGGCUCAAAUCGGGCGUCUUGAGCCGCAGAUCCAAGCGGCUGGGGAAUCUUUUCUCUCUGCCUUUGAGAGUGGCAAUCAAUCUCUGGUGAAAUAUUGGCAGAAGAAGGAAGAGCAGCUGCGGAAGAAGGAAGAACAGCUGCGGAAGGAAAAAGAACAGCUGCGGAAGAAGGAACUCCUCCUCCUCCAAUGUAAUGGUAAGUCAUUCUUUGUGUAUUUAGCUUUCCCCCUCGAUUUGGGGAUGGCUGCUUUCAGCCAUGGUUAAGGAUUUUGCCAGAGGUAGCUUCAAUUCGCUUUUAUUUUGGGUUUGUGGCGUGUUGCGAAAUCCCUGACCAUAACCACACAUGGAAGAGAUGACUAAGGAUCUCUUUCUCCUCUCCCGCAGCAGCCUCUCUUUCACCCGGAGCAGCAGCAACUCUUUAUCCCGGAGCGGCUCCACUGUCCUGCUUUGCUUUCCCUGUCUGGUCACGGUUAAGGAUUUUUGCUUCCUGAAUCUGUUUCUUUCUUUCUGUGUGGAUAUCUGGUAAUCUCCGCAUCCUUGUGGUCAUUCUCACCCCUGUUUGCCCUUUGGCUGUGUUUAAUUCUGUGGCCAUUCCUCCAUAGACUUUAUUGUGCUUCUCACAGCACCAGCGCCAGCGCCAGCAGCGGGACUUC
rnacentral:lncRNA from 1 species